GAUGAAGAACGUAGUAAAAUGCGAUAAGUAAUGUGAAUUGCAGAAUUCAGUGAAUCAUCGAAUCUUUGAACGCACAUUGCGCCCGCCAGUAUUCUGGCGGGCAUGCCUGUUCGAGCGUCAUUUCAACCCUCAAGCACAGCUUGGUGUUGGGACUCGCGUUAAUUCGCGUUCCCCAAAUUGAUUGGCGGUCACGUCGAGCUUCCAUAGCGUAGUAGUAAAACCCUCGUUACUGGUAAUCGCCGCGGCCACGCCGUUAAACCCCAACUUCUGAAUGUUGACCUCGGAUCAGGUAGGAAUACCCGCUGAACUUAAGCAUAUCAAUAAGCGGAGGA
rnacentral:misc_RNA from 1 species